CGAGUGGUCUUCCAGGCUGAGCAUCUAAAAGAUUUUGCCAUCCUGGUACACCACUCGUC
rnacentral:pre_miRNA from 1 species